AGUUAUGAAAUAAAUAACCUAACAUUAGUUUUGUUGCUCUUAUAUCUCUUAUAGUGUUUGUCUAGCAAAUUUGCAUAUAAUUAUGUAAAGUGUUAUAGAAAAAAAAUCGUGUGAAAUUUAAAUUAACUUUAAUUUUCAUUUAUUGCUCAAUUUUAAUAGCCCAAAGAACACAGUAUAUAAUAAAAAAUUCCCCCACUGACUAUUAAAUGCGCUACACCCAGUCCAGUAGGUGGCAGUAAUGACCCUUCAGUUGCCAACCGCCACUCAGUUUAGAAGCGCAGAAGAUUAGAACGUUAAGUUUGGGCGCGAAAGGACAACGACAGUGCCAGCGGGGUUUUAGAGGCCCAUUAGAGUGAUUUCCUGCGUUCUCUCCCACAUGGUCAGCGAAUGGAUUAUCCAGUCACAGUACAUAAUGAAAGACUUGCCGAAGUUAGAAGAAGCUGAGUGAAUCUUCAGAGUGAUUCUUCAGAGAGAAGAUGUUAUGAUGUCUCACAAGAACCAAUGAAAUUUGGGAGACCUCAGAGUAUGUCCUUGCUGUGACUGUGCAAAAACAGCUAUGUUAUGCCCGUGAACGGAUUGGUGUAUAAAAGGGCCUGCAGUGUUCAACACUGUCUCUGUUUAAUGUGAAGUAAAUCCAUCACAUUUGCAUCAGAGGAGGAGCUUCAGUUACUGAAUAGUCCUAAACAAUGAACUGUGGUAAUGUUUCAAUUUCUAAAUGUUUCAAGAAGUACAGUUGUGUCUUUGAGUUUUGUAUGGUACCUGUAUCUGGUUAUUAAAAAUUGAAUUGAAUUGAAAUUGAAUCGCUUUUCCAGAUUCAUUUUGCUGAUGUAUGUUUAUGAUGUUGUCUUAAUUUUCCAGAGUCCUCUAGUGGCAAUAAUAUUUAUAUUUUUAAUU